AUUGAACGCUGGCGGCAGGCCUAACACAUGCAAGUCGAACGAGUGGCGGACGGGUGAGUAAUGUCUGGGAAACUGCCCGAUGGAGGGGGAUAACUACUGGAAACGGUAGCUAAUACCGCAUACCAUCGGAUGUGCCCAGAUGGGAUUAGCUAGUAGGUGGGGUAACGGCUCACCUAGGCGACGAUCCCUAGCUGGUCUGAGAGGAUGACCAGCCACACUGGAACUGAGACACGGUCCAGACUCCGACGGGAGGCAGAACUGGGGAAUAUUGCACAAUGAGCGCAAGCCUGAUACAGCCAUGCCGCGUGUAUGAAGAAGGCCUUCGGGUUGUAAAGCACUUUCGGCGAGGAGGCGUUACUCGCAGAAGAAGCACCGGAUAACUCCGUGCCAGCAGCCGCGGUAAUAC
rnacentral:rRNA from 1 species